ACAGCAGCCGCCGCGGGAAUACGGAGGGUGCAAGCGUUAAUCGGAAUUACUGGGCGUAAAGCGCACGCAGGCGGUCUGACAAGUCAGAUGUGAAAUCCCCGGGCUUAACCUGGGAACUGCAUUUGAAACUGUCAGGCUGGAGUCUUGUAGAGGGGGGUGGAAUUCCAGGUGUAGCGGUGAAAUGCGUAGAGAUCUGGAGGAAUACCGGUGGCGAAGGCGGCCCCCUGGACAAAGACUGACGCUCAGGUGCGAAAGCGUGGGGAGCAAACAGGAUUAGAGACCCCAGUAGUCCCUGUCUCUUAUAU
rnacentral:rRNA from 1 species